UAUUAAUUAUUCUUCUCAAUCCACACACUAAAUAUUUCAAUUAUACCCUUCACUCAUACCAUUAUACACACACCACCUCAACUCUCCUUCCGUACACUCAUUGAAAAUUAUAGAUCCAAACCAUCAUUCAUAAAACUCCCUUAUCUUGCCCCUUUAUUUACACAAUCUGUUACUCUACUCUCUUCACACUCUCUCACCUACUCUCAUUCAUGGCCUCUCUACAAACUCAUCCAAGUUAUCUUCAAUUUUGUCGCUGUUCUAGCUCUGCCCCCAAAAUUCCCUAUCUUCCAAACCCCAAUUCAAUUCCACUUUUCCAGAAUCUUUUAUUUGCUGGGAAAACUAGGGUAUUGAGUUCAAGUUUUGGAGGCAAAGAUGGAUUGUGCUCUAUCUGCUACUUUUGCAAGACAAACUUGAAGGAUUAGAAUGUUUUGCUUCAAAUUCAAGAGGAGACCGAGACCGAGAGGCCUUCUUUCAACAUCAAUCUCGCUGUCAUUCUUGCGGGUUUUGCUUUUGAAGCCUAUACAACCCCACUAAAUGGGAAAAACAAAGGAAACAGUGUUUACAAGAGAAGAGGUAGAGGAAGAGGACAAGAAAGUCCUAGAAUUCGUCACUGCCAGAGACAGAUUUCUUUGCAUUACGGAAAUUUGUGAAGAAUAGCAGAUGGGGACAGGAGUUGACUUGAAUUUUUUUGUAUUGAAAUUUUGUAAGUUUUUAUAUAAAUGCACACAGCUAUGCAUGUUGGAAAAAGCCUUGUUCUAAUUAAAUUUAUAUAAAAAUUGAAGUUGCCACCUUAUAUUCAAUUCACAUUGAUACACAAUCGAAUCACCUUUGUAAAUCCACUUGACUGGAACUCUCACAAUAUUAUUGUUCACAUUCUGCAUUUAAUAUUAAUAUCCUUUUUUUUUUC